UGGGGAAUCUUGCGCAAUGGGCGAAAGCCUGACGCAGCGACGCCGCGUGGGGGAAGAAGGCCUUCGGGUUGUAAACCUCUUUCAGCAGGGACGAAGCCACUCGGGUUAAUAGCCCAGAGGGUGACGGUACCUGCAGAAGAAGCCCCGGCUAACUACGUGCCAGCAGCCGCGGUAAUACGUAGGGGGCAAGCGUUGUCCGGAUUUAUUGGGCGUAAAGAGCGUGUAGGCGGCCAGACAAGUCCGUUGUGAAAACUAGAGGCUUAACCUCUAGACGUCGAUGGAAACUGUUUGGCUAGAGUCCGGAAGAGGAGAAUGGAAUUCCUGGUGUAGCGGUGAAAUGCGCAGAUAUCAGGAAGAACACCCGUGGCUAAGGCGGUUCUCUAGUACGGUACUGACGCUGAGACGCGAAAGCGUGGGGAGCGAACAG
rnacentral:rRNA from 1 species